rnacentral:rRNA from 1 species
AGAGUUUGAUCCUGGCUCAGAUUGAACGCUGGCGGCAUGCUUUACACAUGCAAGUCGAACGGCAGCACAGGGAGCUUGCUCCCGGGUGGCGAGUGGCGCACGGGUGAGUAAUACAUCGGAACGUGUCCUGUUGUGGGGGAUAACUGCUCGAAAGGGUGGCUAAUACCGCAUGAGACCUGAGGGUGAAAGCGGGGGAUCGCAAGACCUCGCGCAAUUGGAGCGGCCGAUGCCCGAUUAGCUAGUUGGUGAAGUAAAGGCUCACCAAGGCGACGAUCGGUAGCUGGUCUGAGAGGACGACCAGCCACACUGGGACUGAGACACGGCCCAGACUCCUACGGGAGGCAGCAGUGGGGAAUUUUGGACAAUGGGGGCAACCCUGAUCCAGCCAUGCCGCGUGCAGGAUGAAGGCCUUCGGGUUGUAAGCUGCUUUUGUCAGGGACGAAAAGGACCGUGUUAAUACCAUGGUCUGCUGACGGUACCUGAAGAAUAAGCACCGGCUAACUACGUGCCAGCAGCCGCGGUAAUACGUAGGGUGCAAGCGUUAAUCGGAAUUACUGGGCGUAAAGCGUGCGCAGGCGGUUCUGUAAGACAGAUGUGAAAUCCCCGGGCUCAACCUGGGAAUUGCAUUUGUGACUGCAGGACUAGAGUUCAUCAGAGGGGGGUGGAAUUCCAGUGUAGCAGUGAAAUGCGUAGAUAGUUGGAAGAACACCAAUGGCGAAGGCAGCCCCGUGGAUUGCGAAUGACACUCACGCACGAAAGACUGGGGUCCAACCAGGACUAGAUACAUUGGUAGUCCACGCCCUAAAAGAUGUCAACUGUUUUAUAGGCUUUCUUAACCAUGGUAAAGAACCUAACGUUUGAAGUAAACCGUGUAGGGAAUACGGUAGCAAGAUUGAUACUAAAAGGAAUUGACGGGGACACGCACAAGCGGUGGAUGAUGGGGAUUGAUACGAUCCAACGCGAAAUACUUUACGUAGCAUCGACAUGACAGGAAUCAUGCAGAGAUUCGGGAGUGCCCACAAGGGAAUCCGGACACAGGUAUUGCAUGGCAGUCGUCAGCUCGUGUUGUGAGAUGGAGGGUUAAGUCCCGCAACGAGCCGCAACCCUUGUCAGUAGUUGCUAAGCAAGAGCAGUUUAUUGAGACGGCGGGCGACAAACCGGAGGAAGAUGGGGAUGACGUCAGGUCGUCACGGCCGUUAGGGGUAGGGCGACACACGUCAUACAACGGUAGGUAUCAGAGGGCAGCGAACCACCCGAGGGGGAACAAAUCCCAGACAACAGAACAUAGUCCGAAGUACAAUUCACCAGUGGACCACAUGAAAUCGGAAUCGAUAGUAAUCUGCGGAUCAGCAUGACGCGCAGAAUACGUUCACCGGGUCCAGUACACAACGCCAGUCAAGGCGAAUUCGUAGAAACAUGCAGACUAGUCCAUUUAGUGAGGUAAUUCUGGUUAGCAUCUGGG